rnacentral:rRNA from 1 species
GUCUAUGGCCAUGUCACUCUGAAUGCACCCGAUCUCAUCAGAUCUCAGAACCUAAGCAGAGUCAGGUCUGGUUAGUACUUGGAUGGGAGAAGUGUGGGAAAUGGUCCAUAUAUG